ensembl:misc_RNA Metazoa_SRP Metazoan signal recognition particle RNA
CCCUGGCACUGUAGUGUGUGCCUGUAGUCCCAGCUAUUCAGGGGCUAGGGCAGGAAGAUCUCUUGAGCCCAGGAGUUCUGUGCUAUAGUGAUCGAGAGUCCGCCAUAAAUUCAGCAUCAAUAUACUGACUUCCUGGGAGAGGAGGACCACCAGGUUGCCUAAGGAGGGAUUUAACAGCCCAGGUGAAAAAACAGAGCAGGUCAAAACUCAUGUGUUGAUCAGUAGUGGGAUCACUACUAAUGCAAUUUCUCCCAUAGAAAUGGGAGAUCCCGUUUCUUU